GCGGCAGUUGUGGUAUGGCUUUGGUGAUGUUUGGGUGGUGUGGUUGUGAUGUUGGCAACGAUGGUGGAGAUGUUAGCAGUGGUGGUGAAUCUCAGCAAAUUUGGUGUUUAUGUGGUGGCGGUAGUCAGGGGUGAGAUGGGAUUGAAUACUUGUGACCAAUUAUUUAGUUGAUUUGAUUAAUAAUUGGAUAUGUGAGCUGAAAAUUGUGACUGUGACCCUUGAUUGUG
rnacentral:lncRNA from 1 species